CUCACGUCAGAACCAUCACGUACUGAAGAGGCAGGGAGACAGCGGCGUUUCUGGAGAUGUGCUGAAUGAUUUUCAGAGCGCUGUCCUAUGUGGCUGAUAGGAUAGUAGCCUGCUGCAGUCCUGGGAGGAGGUCCAGAGGAUGAGGCCGGCCGCACUCUAGGUGGGAGGUGGAGACAGUUGCUCGCAGGAUUCCAGCCAUUAAGCCUGCUCCAGCUCGUGCCACGGGAUGUGGCGUCUAAGGGGAAGAGUGCGGCAG